rnacentral:snoRNA from 1 species
GCUGGCAUAAUGAUGAUAACUCUUUGCCGUUUACCCAGCUGAAUUUGUGAUGAGCAAUGUUAUAUCUGAUGUGCCAGC